rnacentral:lncRNA from 1 species
UUACAUUAUUUAAAAUAAAACGUAUGCAGGUUCAUAAAUAUAAAGUGCUGUUCUCGCUUAGACCCCAUGAGGUAAUAAAUAUAAAGGAGUUGCUGCCUUCCCAAGUGUUCCGAGCGGAACGCAAACCUAAGCUUAUGGCUAAUUGAUCACCCCCAACUGCAGUUCCCCCCAAAACUAAAUGACACCAAUUCAUUUGAAUGUUUGCCUUUUACUCUCCAGAAUGAGAGCGUGGCUGGCAUCGCUUCAUGAUUACAUUCUGGGAAAGAUCUUGCCUGUUAACCUCUAGAGAAGGAGGGACGAUACAGACAACCACUGGUGGAAGUUGUUGUUAAACAGUGGGUCUUGCAUGCAAGCUCUACAGUUAUGCACAGUAUUUCCAUGACAUCCCAAGCCAUGUGAGUAAUAUUAAAAAUUAUUCUGUUUGCUGAUUGAGUGCAUCCCAGCAAGGGAUUGCAUUAUUCUGAAGAACAAAAUAAAAUUGUUCUUAGGCUGUUCUUAUUCAUAGACAUUUUUAUUAUCUAUAAAUUGGUGUGUUAAUCAACACACAUGCAUAUGUUACUAGAGAAGAAAACUGUAAAUAUGGACCAAUGAUGACCUUGUCUAUAUUAUAAGUCAUAGACGAUGACAACAUACUGGAUUCUGAGGUUCAUACCAUAAGAUGUCUCAAGUGCCCCUCUUGGACAGCUGGCAAAAGUUAGACAUGUGCAGUAUAUACUGUGCACAAGAGUCAGGCACUCUCAUAAUUUUCUUAUAUUGUGAUCAAUGAAUUACGAUAUAAACAUAAAUACACUUGCAGAUAAAUUACUAGAGCCAUCAACUAAUUAUGAAAAUAAAUAUUUGACCCCAAAUACUACUAAUUCAUUUGGAAAAUCUGAAAGUCUGUUAAGAAAUCAUUGGCAUAAAGAUGUAUAUAACCUUUAUCCAAAUUGACAUAUUCGGUGUAAUUAAUGGCUUACCCUCUAGUGAGGGUUAAGGCCUUCAUUUGAAAUGUUAUUUGAUUUCUUAAGAAACUUUCAUAGUAAUUUGAAUCUUAAGUAACAAGUAAUGGAAAGAGAAAUGUAGAAAGAAUUGGAAAGUAUCAAUUUUUUUUUUUUAUUCUCUUUGCUCUUUUGUCCUACCUGGAUGGAUGCUGCCUAACACCUUGUUUCCUGGCUAGGAGGUUCAUGCUGCCAUAUCCCCCUGUUUAACAAGUGUGGAAACUGAUGUAAGUGGAGUCAAAGUCUUGGUUUGGGUGGCCAUCGUAAAUGUUCCUGCUAAGAUAGGCAUAGGCUCCAGUAAGAUCAACUCAACAUGAUCAUAAAUACCAUGUUGAGGAUUUCCAAAAUUUAGAGAAAUGACAGAGAGUCACAGGGGCACAAACUCUGUUGAUGAACUUCAAUACACCAAGAUCUUGUGCAAGGAUCUGUGAUGAAGAGUUAUGUAAAUAUUCUAAUUGAUCCAUAUAGUUGUUAAUAAAAGGGGAAAGUGUGAGAGAAGUUGAAGGACAGUGUUGAGUCAAUGAUGGCCAGUGAUGAUGUAUGAAUCGGGAUCAUAGCUACAGGUCUGGUCGUCAGAGGUCCACACCCAAACACGUGUAGUGUGGAGCUGUGAUAUAGAUAUUGGAUGUAAAUUAGUGUGUUAAAAUCCUUAGGUUCAUCUGUUUUCAUUCUACCCGGACUUAGAUUAAACUAAAUGAAAGAGGUCAAAGCAUUCUCUAAUUAUUUAAAUAACACCAAGUAGUACUACUAACAGUAUGAAUAUCAAAGUUUAGAAAUUCAUUAGUAAUAAAUGGCCAGAGUUAGAAACCCUUAGCUGAGAAUUUUGUGUGCUGUUUUAAAUGGCGGACAAAAUUCUCGUUUGGUUAAGAACCUGGUCUCCUGUUUAUUUUCUAGAGAAGAAUGUAUCACAGCUUCAUGUAACUCGAGGGGUAAAA